ensembl:processed_transcript
UCCUUCCGUAGGGCGUACACUAACGACAGACGCCCGGAAGUGGGGCCACCGUUCUGUGACCCUGAGGCUGCUCCGACAGUAAAGCAAGCGGGUAGACACCGUACGACAGAUUUUCACUUAUUGAAAUGUCACUGGUGUAGCAGUUUGUGUCAAGAAAAGUGAGCACGAAGCUUGCCAAAGCAGUUCACAGUGAGCAAGAGACUGUUAAAAGGUGAAGAUCGGAUUUUCAGAACUCCUCCUGUAAAGACUGGAUUCUGAGUUUCCAAUGUUUUAGAACAGAACAGGGCAUUGGCCCUGCGAUCGCUUGCAGACUUGGCCAUGGCUGCGAGCGGCCUGUCCUGCUCUCUUAUCUGCUGACAAGCGUGCCUCACUCGUCUAAUGGUAUCAGUAUAAUAAGCCACCAAAAACUCCAGGCUGCUGGGCAGAUUUCUUUUAAGAAUCAAAAUGUAGGAAACCUUUAAGGCUAGAAGAAAACAUGACAAUUCAGUUUAAUUUUAGGGAUAAGUACACUCCCCUCAACAACCGACAAAACAUCCAAGUAGAAAAUAACUACCAGGGAUAAAGGUUGGCCUGGCUGCGUAUUUCUUUUCCAUUCUAGGGCAGAGAAACAGCACUAAGUGCCUUUCAGUAGGCGUGGCACUGACCGGGCCAGAGCACAGUGCUAUCACUUCACAGCCAGAGGCAGGAGGAAGGCAAGCAGGACCGUGAGCUGUCACGUAGCAGGGAGGCCCUGGUUGCACAACUCAUGAGUUUGAUGGACACCAUUUUUAUUUUUUUACGAUGAUUUCCAAUUUCUCAACGACUUUCAUUUUGACAUGACUCUUUCAUAACUAGACUAUCAAGAGUCUAGUUCACACAUAUAUGCCUCUUCUGAGUCCUCCUCAUUGUGCCAAUGUCCUUAGCAGGCUCUCUCCACCCCCCAGUCUCCUGCUCACACACCCCAGAUGAACAGCAUGGGCACCCUAUUAAGGAGAUCUGUACUGUCAGAGCUUUGAUUGACUUUUCUAAUGACUCAUAAGAAAAUAAUCUGGAUAAAGUUACACGUUCAAAGUUCGAUUUUAUUUCAAAAUGAUAAAUAAACUGGCAUAGUUCUGACUCUGU